CUACGGGUUGCUCCAGUAGGGAAUAUUGGACAAUGGGCGAAAGCCUGAUCCAGCAACACCGCGUGCACGAUGACGGCCUUCGGGUUGUAAAGUGCUUUUAGAGGAGAUGAGAAAGGACAGUAUCCUCUGAAUAAGCCUCGGCGAACUACGUGCCAGCAGCCGCGGUAAAACGUAGGAGGCAAGCGUUAUCCGGAUUUAUUGGGCGUAAAGCGCGUGCAGGCGGUCUAGCAAGUUGGAUGUGAAAGCUCCCGGCUCAACUGGGAGAGGUCGUUCAAUACUGUUAGACUAGAGAAUAGGAGAGGGAGGUGGAAUUCUGGGUGUAGUGGUGAAAUGCGUAGAUAUCCGGAGGAACACCAGUGGCGAAAGCGGCCUCCUGGACUAUUUCUGACGCUAAGACGCGAAAGCUAGGGUAGCAAACGGGAUUAGAUACCCCUGUAGUC
rnacentral:rRNA from 1 species